UGAGCCUACGGGGGGCAACAGUAGGGAAUCUUCGGCAAUGGGGGCAACCCUGACCGAGCAACGCCGCGUGAGUGAAGAAGGUUUUCGGAUCGUAAAGCUCUGUUGUAAGAGAAGAACGUGUGUGAGAGUGGAAAGUUCACACAGUGACGGUAACUUACCAGAAAGGGACGGCUAACUACGUGCCAGCAGCCGCGGUAAUACGUAGGUCCCGAGCGUUGUCCGGAUUUAUUGGGCGUAAAGCGAGCGCAGGUGGUUUAUUAAGUCUGGUGUAAAAGGCAGUGGCUCAACCAUUGUAUGCAUUGGAA
rnacentral:rRNA from 1 species